GUGAGGAAUAUUGCGCAAUGGAGGCAACUCUGACGCAGCCAUGCCGCGUGCAGGAAGAAGGCGCUACGCGUUGUAAACUGCUUUUAACCGGGAAGAAACCCCAGGACGUGUCCUGGGUUGACGGUACCGGAGGAAUCAGCACCGGCUAACUUCGUGCCAGCAGCCGCGGUAAUACGAAGGGUGCAAGCGUUAUCCGGAUUCAUUGGGUUUAAAGGGUGCGUAGGCGGAGCGUUAAGUCAGUGGUGAAAUCCUGCAGCUUAACUGUAGACUUGCCAUUGAUACUGGCGCUCUUGAGUGCGCUGGAAGUGGGCGGAAUGUGCCGUGUAGCGGUGAAAUGCUUAGAUAUGGCACAGAACACCAAUUGCGAAGGCAGCUCACUAAGGCGAUACUGACGCUGAGGCACGAAAGCGUGGGGAUCGAACAGGAUUAGAUACCCGUGUAGUCC
rnacentral:rRNA from 1 species